rnacentral:RNase_P_RNA from 2 species
GCAUCGCUGAACGCCGCGUAUCCUCGCCUACCCACGCGCGAAUCCCUUUCGAGAGAUUCGUGCCCUUAUGCGAGGGGGCAAGUCGGAGAAUCGUCCUCGCCCCGCCUGCUCUCACGAGCCUGCCUCUAACUGGCUGCGGUGGCACCAGAAAGCUCGGCUGCUUCCAGUCAGGUCUCUGGCGCGGGAACGGCUUUGGGAGGCUGCCGCGAGGAUCGAAUGCCUUUUAGUGCAUUCUUGAGUGCAAUACGCGGCCGUCGCGGGUUCGAUUCGCACCCGCGACAACUCAAUUCUGCUCGUCUGGGCGAUGC